CUCCGCCCAUCUUUGUCAAACUUUUGCAGUGCUCCAAUUAAAGCUGAGGUCUGUUUGGCGAAAAGCUCAACCUUCUUCAAAAAUGCGGUUGCAGCAGCAUCAGAGCUGAAGAACACGGCGACAAAGGAGGCUGCCCUUUUGUGGUGUUCAGGCGAUACUCAGAUGCUGGGGGAACCACAGACGUCAGUGCAUUGUAUUGGGAUUUUCUGCGACAGAGCAACACAAAGUAGGGCACAAAUCGUGAAACGGAAGGACAAUGAGACACAGUUUUAACGUUUUCUACAAAUAAACAUCAGAAAAGCGGGCCCCGGAUUUACAUCCGCCGCCACCCGAGUCGAUACUUUGUUAAUCGACCGAUGCAACUACAGCCGCAGAUCCGAUGAGAUCCAUGGACUGUGUGGGACUGCAGGAAAAACUCUUCCUGUUUUUGUUUUUAGUCCCCAGCACCUGAUGACAUCACAAGGGGCAACAGGAGUCUGAAACAGACAGAAAUACAGCACCAUCACAGAUAUUAUGCCGACCAAUCUUUCAAGACUGAUGGAUUGCAAAAAAAAAAAAAAAAAA